rnacentral:lncRNA from 1 species
CUCGAUUCCCUUAGGGUGAGUCGUUAACUUUGUGUCAAGGAAUCUCCGAUUCACACUGGCAAUCGCCGACUCCACCUAGUGAGUCUCCGAUUGCGGGUUAUUCUGCUAGCUAAGAGUGCUGUCCACGGCCAGACUCGAAAGAAGAGCUACCUAAAGCAGUCACCGAUUCCACUAGUGCCAGUCGCCGAUUCCACCUUUGUGAAUCGCCGACUCCCAUAGUGAAUCGCCGACUCCACUUGGUUCUUUCUCUCGGGUUAGUUCUAGCAAACACUUGCGCUCUAGUUGGAACACGCUUUUGUCUACAAUGACUUCUGAAAGACAAAAGCACGACUAUCAUCUGAGGGCCAAAGGCAAGUCCUCAAUGGUAGCUGACAGGGCCCAGACUGACCCUCCUCAAGAAAACAGGCAAGAAACGCCUGAGGAGCCACAAGCCAGUCUGCGCUCUCAAACAACCAUUCCUCCCGCUUUAGAGGAGAG